rnacentral:sRNA from 1 species
UGUCGUCAAUAUACGAGAAACAGCAGUC